GCAGCAGUGAGGAAUAUUGGACAAUGGAUGGAAAUCUGAUCCAGCCAUGCCGCGUGCAGGAAGACGGCCCUAUGGGUUGUAAACUGCUUUUSUACGGGAGCAAUAAGGUCUACGCGUAGACUGAUGAGAGUACCGUAGGAAUAAGCAUCGGCUAACUCCGUGCCAGCAGCCGCGGUAAUACGGAGGAUGCGAGCGUUAUCCGGAUUUAUUGGGUUUAAAGGGUGCGUAGGCGGCUUUUUAAGUCAGCGGUGAAAUUUUGCAGCUUAACUGUAACAGUGCCGUUGAUACUGGGGAGCUAGGAUUUGGUUGCUGUGGGUGGAAUGUGUGGUGUAGCGGUGAAAUGCUUAGAGAUCACACAGAAUAUCGAUUGCGAAGGCAGCUCACAAAGCCAAGAUUGACGCUGAGGCACGAAAGUGUGGGGAUCAAACAGGAUUAGAUACCCUGGUAGUCCACACUGUAAACGAUGAUAACUCGCUGUCGGCGAUACACAGUCGGUGGCCAAGCGAAAGCGAUAAGUAUCCAC
rnacentral:rRNA from 1 species